UGUGACCCUGUAGGUCCAUAGAAAGUUGGCAGUAGGCUAAUUAUGCUAUUAGCCCACAAGUCACAAGUGGCUUCUAGCAAGACAUUACAACUACCCAAUUCACAUGAAAAUUAAUGAUCUUAUGUAACCUAUCAUGCAACCGUAUCACAUGCCUUUUGUCACGCAAUAUUUCGGUCAAGUGUGAGACAUGGAAUUGUCAUUCUCCUUUACCUGACCAUUACUUUUUUUAUCUCUAAGUGUACUGACUGUAGCAAUGGAAAAACCUUUUCCAUUAUAAUAUAGCCAUAUAUUUUCUCCAUCUUACUCAUCGAGGCACCCAGUAAUCUCUCACUUAAUGUGAGAGAUAAAUUUCAUCUUGACCACUUAUAUUCUUUUGAAUGAAUAUCACUAAAUUCAAUCAUAGCUUUUAUGAUCACCCAGUCAAAGGUGACUUUUGACUAGGUCAAAGUUUAGUGGUCAUCAUGUAGGAAUCCAUGAUGAUCUCAAGUCAAAGGGCUUAGUGAUAUAGUUAUAUAUGAGAUAAGCUUAUGAUUUAUACUAUGUAACUUUCUCAUAGUGGGUCGGUCCAGCACCUUAUACUCUUUUAAGUGUCUAUGAUUUUGAUUUGUAUCUUUAUAAUUAAUCAAAGUCAUACUUGUCUUGUUUCAUCUAUGAUCCCUUAUGGAUGACCGAUCAGGAACUUUUAGGAUAAUCACUAUAGUUUGUCCAAGGAUAUAGUUAUCAUAGUGAACAAGCAAUUAAUAUGAUGACAAAAGAAAAAUUCAUUAAAUAAUAAUGUGCAUAGUAUAAUGAUUGGUCCUAGGGCAUAAUUUUCAACACAAUAUUAUUUCCUGAAUGGCUUAUAAGUUUUACUGUAUAAAUAAGAUAUUCCACCUGAAUGAAAUCCUAUAACGACGCAUCUUCAUCCACUCCUCUUGUUUUCCCACCAAACAACUAAGACCCACAUUAGAUAGAAUCACAGACCUACCAACUAUUUCUAGAACUAAAGGACAAUUCAACCCCUGAACCCACUCAAGAUAUGGAUCAUGACAUUGAUGAAGAUAAGAUUCUCUUUGAUAUCUUUGCCACUAAAUGGCGCCAAAAAGAAGAAAAAAGUUAGAUCAACAUAUCAUAUGACCAAGAGUGUAUUCAAAAGAGUAUGAAAUAAUCUACUUUAAGUUAAAUCACAUCUUAUUUUAUUAAUUUCAUCUUAUUGUAAACUUUGUCAAAAGCUACUUUUGACUUUUGAACAAAGUAGUUAGCUUUUAGUCAUGUCAUCCAUCUUCACUUUUAGUUUAAGUAAAGUAUGUUUAAAGUAAGUGCCCAUGUGAUAAUCAUCCAUCUUUUUGUAACCAUGGAAGUCUUGUCCUAAUCCUCCUCAUUGUGUCUAUAUAAGGAAGUUUCAGUCAUGUAGUAAGGCUAAACUCAUUUGAGAAACAAAAACCUGUAUGUUAUCCAAUUAUAUCUCUCCAAAACUCUUUCUCUAUCCUAAAAGCUUGAUUCUUUAAUAUCUUAUCUCUAUCAUACUAAGAUUAAAAUAUGCUUUGCACUUGCCUCUUUGAGGAACUUGUGCAUUAGAAAGAAUUCGACUGACAAUCUCUGUGUGUGAGUUCAUGUCACUAUGCUUAAAGAUUUAUAGGUUGAAGAUCCUAAAAUGACCCAGGUUUGCCUAGAAGAAGCAUUGAGAGGCCUUACUUGGAUCAAUACAUCCUAUAUCACUAAGACACAAUGAUCUUUGAGACUACGCACAUAUGAGUAUUGCACUCGUGGUGCCUUUUUGGUCUAGAAGCUUUACACUUGUAUUAGUGAAAAUGAGUCAUAAAGCAGUAGUUAGCGCAACUUGUUUCGAUCUAAUUUGUUCAAUUAAGAUAUUGAUUGUAGUUUUUUUUUUUCUAUUUUUGAAAAAAAAAUUCUUAUUUUAGUUAUUUUUUCUAUAAUAAUUUUAAAAAUAAAUUUCUUUAAUUUAAAAUAUUUUAAAAAGUAAUCAAUAUUUAUCUCGAGGAAAAAAAUUUCUUCUACUAUCUAAUUUUUCUGGGUCAUCUGUAACUCAUAGAAAAUAAAUAUUUUUUUUUAAUAAGAAAAAUAUUAGGUGGGUUAAACUACAAUAAUUCAGGGACCUAACAUUCUUCUAUGGUGUGAUCCUCACUAACAAAAUCCUGACACUGACUCAACCAAUUUUUGUUGACAAAAGUUAAAAAUUAUUCCAUAUUAUAUUUAUUUAAAAAAUAUAAAUAUUCCAGUUAAUUCACUGUAAAAAAUGGAAAGAGUGACCUUUUCUAAAUUUUAAUAUUUUAUUAACGAUCUUUUGCUUAUUUACAACUCGAGGAUUUUCAGUAGCAGCCCUAUGAUGAGCAUGACGAGCGUGUGGAGCACAAGGCCAUCAUUUGGAACAACUAUUCAUUCCCAUCUGUCCCUUAUUCUCUUGGUUCUUGUUCUGCUCUCUCUGCAAGCCUUCGUGCUCCUUUGAGACCUUGAUAGUUAAGCUCUUGCUUAUUGGAAAUCUCGUUCAGUUUUUAAUGAAUUGUAAACAAGAAUUGUAAUGGCUCAUAUUAUAAUAAUAAAGCUAGACCAAAUAAUAAGAUUAAUUUAUUAUAUUUUUAUUAAUUGUUGAGAAAAGAAUAAUCACAUGCAUUGGUGGUUCAAUGAAAUUUCUAUUAGUGCUUAUUAUAAGGUCUUGUGUUCGAGCCCUCAUUAUGUACUAAGGAAGAAUUUUUUUAAUUUUUGCCACUGUGUUACGAAAUUACCACUCUGUCCCUAAAAAAAUAAUAAUAAAAUAAAAUUAAAAUUCAGAAAUUUAAAGAAAAGAGUGAUCAGAAAUGCCACACAUGUUCUGCAGAUUUUUCUCACCUUUCUCGGUCAUUUUGAGCUCCAGAUUGAGUUAGAGAGAGAGCACCGCCUAAAACUCUCACCCUCUAUCCAUUAAUCUCUGCCUUCAUCCUCCUUAGCGUCGCUAGUGACUCUGAGAAUUUACUGUCGUUGUCUUCCUUAUCUCCAUCUUCUCCAACUUCUCCAGAAUUUGUCAAGACAGAGAGGUUUAACUGAUUCUUCAAUCUACCUCCGUUUUCCCCUGUCUUGUCGCCAUUUUCUUCUCCGUUCACAGAGAUCACCAGCGCUAGUAUCUGUAGUUAUUUCGUCCACCACUACUCUGUCAAGUUGGUGCCUUCUUCGUCUUCCCUUCAUGCUUGCCGAGGACUUGCUGCUGUUAGGUUCCAAAUCCGUUGGUGUUAGACAUUUCCUUCUCCUUCUCUGCCCCUGUCGUUGCUGUUUGAGGUGGCAUGUGACUUGUGCAUCAAUUGGGCAAUUGAGGUCAACACUCCUUGAGGACAAUGGCUGAUGGUUUGCACGUGAAUUAUGAUUAUUUUGAGGGAUUAGAUCAGCUAAAAUGAUGUGGAUGACACAUGGGAAAUUAGGCACACAUUGGAAUCAUCUACAAACCAAUAGGAAGUUGCCACCUUGCAAGUGUGACAAGGCUCCCAUUUACAUUUUAAUUUCUUUUUCCUUAUUUUAAUUAAGCUUCAGCUGAUGGGAGACACCAAGGAGCACGCCAUUUUAAGCCCAAAUGGGAUCCAACACAUAUCUCAUUCAUCUUCCACAUUCUCUCUCUCUUGUUCAUAGUGUUCUUCAUUUUCUCUCUUUUGUUCUUCAUUUUCCAGCACCCUAACCUCCAUUUUCAGCCACCAAACCUCCACAAAACUCAUACCAUUCUUCUCCUCUCUUCAUUUUCGUUCCAUCCCUUCCAUUUUCACAAGGAUUGAAGCUCAUUUCCAUCAUUCAAGAGCUAUGGAGUUUGGCCUUCACAAGCAAUCACUAGGGUUCUUGAAGAUGAAGAUUGGCUAAGUUUCUUUGUGGAAUCCUAGAGAGAUGAAGAUGGAGGAUGAGUCUUGAGCUUCAAAUUGGCUAAGUUCUUUUGUUUCCUAUCCUCUUCUCUUUUUACUAGAUGGUUAGAUUCCUUAAUCUAGGGUCUAAUCAUCUUAGCUUAUAAAUUCUAAUUUGAAUUUGAUGUUGAUGUAAAGAGAGAGGAUUGUUUCAUUUAAUUUCUUCCUUGGACAGCCAUGACUGAAUUUUGCCACUCUUUGUUUGGCACAUAAUCUUGUGUUUUUCAAUUAGUGAAUUUCUUGUGUUAA